rnacentral:rRNA from 1 species
UGGGGAAUUUUGGACCAUGGGCGAAAGCCUGAUCCAGCCAUGCCGCGUGAGUGAAGAAGGCCUUCGGGUUGUAAAGCUCUUUUAGUCGGAAAGAAAGAGUCGCAAUGAAUAAUUGUGAUUUAUGACGGUACCGACAGAAAGAGCACCGGCUAACUACGUGCCAGCAGCCGCGGUAAUACGUAGGGUGCGAGCGUUAAUCGGAAUUACUGGGCGUAAAGGGUGCGCAGGCGGUCUUGCAAGUCAGAUGUGAAAGCCCCGGGCUUAACCUGGGAAUUGCGUUUGAAACUACAAGACUAGAGUGCAGCAGAGGGGAGUGGAAUUCCAUGUGUAGCAGUGAAAUGCGUAGAGAUGUGGAAGAACACCGAUGGCGAAGGCAGCUCCCUGGGUUGACACUGACGCUCAUGCACGAAAGCGUGGGGAGCAAACA